GACGAACGCUGGCGGCGUGCCUAAUACAUGCAAGUAGAACGCUGAAGGAGGAGCUUGCUUCUCUGGAUGAGUUGCGAACGGGUGAGUAACGCGUAGGUAACCUGCCUGGUAGCGGGGGAUAACUAUUGGAAACGAUAGCUAAUACCGCAUAAGAGUAGAUGUUGCAUGACAUUUGCUUAAAAGGUGCAAUUGCAUCACUACCAGAUGGACCUGCGUUGUAUUAGCUAGUUGGUGGGGUAACGGCUUACCAAGGCGACGAUACAUAGCCGACCUGAGAGGGUGAUCGGCCACACUGGGACUGAGACACGGCCCAGACUCCUACGGGAGGCAGCAGUAGGGAAUCUUCGGCAAUGGACGGAAGUCUGACCGAGCAACGCCGCGUGAGUGAAGAAGGUUUUCGGAUCGUAAAGCUCUGUUGUAAGAGAAGAACGAGUGUGAGAGUGGAAAGUUCACGCUGUGACGGUAUCUUACCAGAAAGGGACGGCUAACUACGUG
rnacentral:rRNA from 1 species